rnacentral:antisense_RNA from 1 species
ACCUUCUUCAUGUAUCUCCUCUCGGAGCGUCAUUCCCUGACCUUCCUUUCUAGGGCUCUGAAUCCAUCCCAUUGCUGUCUAUCCAGUCACUCUCUCUUUUCUAGCUGGCAUCCAUCACAAGCAAUCUGCUUAUCUUGUUUUUGUCUAUCUUUGUUGAAUUUUGGUAUUGAUUUUAUGUGUCAGUACCUGAGAAGUAGAGAAGUCCUUGAGUUGUUGUGUAAAUGUGGCUCAAGUGAGAUGCUGAACAGUGCCAGCCAUGUGGACUCUGCCACGGUGAAGGAGGAAGGCAGCACUGAGGAGUAAAGGAAUAUUUGGGAGGAUCAGAAGCUUGGUCCUGAUUUUGCCAUCAACCAGGACCUUGAUGACUUCAAGGGAGUCCCCAAACCCUGGGUUUCUGUUUUCUCAACUCUAACAUGAGGGGCUAGACGCAUCUGGUUUAGUUCGUCUCCAUGAUCCUGUGAAUUUCAGAUGUUGAAAAUCUUCAGAAAAGCCCUGAAAGAUGAAGAGUGGUCUCAAAUAGUCAAGACCCCCUGCUGGGGGGAGCGUCUAUCCUGCUCUGUGGAAGAAAUGGGCAUGCCAGAUGCCUG